AUUAAUACUUCUUGGUGCAGCUAAUCUUUGUAAUAAAAUUGUAUUUCUGGUGAGUUUUGUUGGAAAUCGUGGCACGUUCACCCGUGGGUACCGAGCAGUCAUCCUGGAUAUGGCCUUUCUCUAUCACGUGGCGUAUGUCCUGGUUUGCAUGCUGGGCCUUUUUGUCCAUGAAUUCUUCUAUAGCUUCCUGCUUUUUGAUUUGGUGUACAGAGAAGAGACUUUGCUGAAUGUCAUAAAAAGUGUCACACGAAAUGGCCGCUCUAUUAUUCUAACUGCAGUCCUGGCUCUCAUCCUCGUCUACCUGUUUUCCAUUAUUGGGUUCCUUUUUUUGAAGGAUGACUUCACUAUGGAAGUUGAUAGGCUGAAAAACCGAACUCCUGUUACAGGCAGUCAUCAAGUGCCUGCUAUGACUUUAACUACCAUGAUGGAAGCAUGUGCCAAGGAGAACUGUUCACCCACAAUUCCAGCUUCAAAUACAGGUUUGUAGAAAGGACUCUGGGUCAGUAUGAACUUGAUAUCUUUGAAGUUUUAUUUAGUAAAUAUUAUUACCUCUUAGGGAAUUGCUCUACAAAUUUCAUGAUGGAUU
rnacentral:sRNA from 1 species